rnacentral:rRNA from 1 species
GAUGAACGCUGGCGGCGUGCCUAAUACAUGCAAGUCGAGCGAACAGACGAGGAGCUUGCUCCUCUGACGUUAGCGGCGGACGGGUGAGUAACACGUGGAUAACCUACCUAUAAGACUGGGAUAACUUCGGGAAACCGGAGCUAAUACCGGAUAAUAUAUUGAACCGCAUGGUUCAAUAGUGAAAGACGGUUUUGCUGUCUCUUAUAGAUGGAUCCGCGCCGCAUUAGCUAGUUGGUAAGGUAACGGCUUACCAAGGCAACGAUGCGUAGCCGACCUGAGAGGGUGAUCGGCCACACUGGAACUGAGACACGGUCAAGACUCCUACGGGAGGCAGCAGUAGGGAAUCUUCCGCAAUGGGCGAAAGCCUGACGGAGCAACGCCGCGUGAGUGAUGAAGGUCUUCGGAUCGUAAAACUCUGUUAUUAGGGAAGAACAAAUGUGUAAGUAACUAUGCACGUCUUGACGGUACCUAAUCAGAAAGCCACGGCUAACUACGUG